rnacentral:tRNA from 1 species
GGUGGCUCAGUGGUAGAGUACUUGCCUUGCAUGCAUGAAGCCCUGGGUUCGGUUCCUCAGCACCA